rnacentral:rRNA from 1 species
UACGGAGGGGGCUAGCGUUGUUCGGAAUUACUGGGCGUAAAGCGCACGUAGGCGGCUUUGCAAGUCAGAGGUGAAAGCCCGGGGCUCAACCCCGGAAUAGCCUUUGAGACUGCAUCGCUAGAAUUGUGGAGAGGUAAGUGGAAUUCCGAGUGUAGAGGUGAAGUUCGUAGAUAUUCGGAAGAACACCAGUGGCGAAGGCGACUUACUGGACACAUAUUGACGCUGAGGUGCGAAAGCGUGGGGAGCAAACAGG